rnacentral:lncRNA from 1 species
UAUCCUCUGCACCUCCGCUGAGCACGACCGACUGGUGCCGCUGACCUCCGCGGAGCCGUGCCGCUCUCUGGCUGCCGAGUCUCCAGCCUACUGAUUCCUGGUUGUGAAGCAGGUUCAGCCCAAGGAUCACAGGGGACAGAUACCUCCUUCAGAAAUAAGAAGCAGAAGAAAAACAUCCAAGCAGAAGAAUUGGAAGGCAAAGGGAAAGAAACGGAUGGGGAUUGCAACUGAAAAAUUAAUGAAGAGAGACCUCGUUUCACAAAGCUUAUAUAAAGUCGGGCUGCAUCUG